rnacentral:lncRNA from 1 species
CAGGGCAAGACUGGGGUUUUCCCUUACCACCUCCCAAGGUGAAAGCAUUCCUGUGGUCUUCUCUGUCACCCAGUACAUCCCCUUCCCCCACCAUCUCUAGUUUAAAGCCCUGCUAACCAGCCCAGCCAACUUGUUCCCAAGAAUAUUUGUAGCCCUUCUAGGCAGUCAGCUCCCAUUCGCUGUCAGCAUUCCCCCUUUCUCAAGGCUGCGUCCCAAGCCUGGUUACAGGUCAGCCUCAUAGUCUUGGUCUGUCUGCCUUGACUGGUGGGAGUGUAAAUCAUCAGGUUUGUGUGUCAAGCCUUUGCUCUCAAUUAAUUGCUGCCAUUGGAACGGCACCUAUUAAAGCAUGACCUGUCCAUAAAGCGUGUCAUCAGCACUGCCUGAUGCCUCAUCCUAAGCUGCCUUGUUAUGGGGUCACAUACCAAAUGUGCCAGCACCAUCUGCUGGGACUCCUGGAUAACACUGCUGUUAGAAACUCUGCUUUUGGUUGGUGCCUUUGUGUGAUGUGAAAUUCCCUACCAACCUCUGAAAUACAGCUUUCUCCUAAGCCCUACGCUCCUGUCUGCUAAGCUGUGCAUUCUUAUCACUGCAGAAUGUGGUUCUUGUUUGCUUUUGCAGGUGUUUGUAACUGUUGGUGAAUAACGCUCUGAAGGCAUCACAGACUGCCUGCUUGUCUCUGCAGUGCUCGGGGCUUUUCUGAGCUGCAGGCUCGCUGUCGCCCUGUGGCAUAGCCUUGCAUCUGGUGACGGACUGAAGCUGGAGAAUCCUGGCAGCAGAGGACGCUCCUGCCCCACAGAAGGGCUCACAGCUCCACCGCAGCUCCACCGACCUCAGUGCUGGUGAGGAGGCUGAGAUGCCUCCAAGUGAUGAAUGCAGUGCACCCAACCUUACACCUCGUGUGGUUCACUGUGCGAGGCGACCAGGAAGAAAGGAUAUUUUACAGGUUCUGACUCAGGUUCAGAGAUUUUAAGUUUACCGUCUGGAAUUAAAGCCUUCUUCAACUGCCUGUUCUGCCACCUGAUCCGCCAUCUUAUCUCCAGUUUCCUGUACAGUGCUACCUUUCUGGUGUCCUUUACAGAGUAUAAUAGCCAUGCUCUUUGGUAGAUGUACAUCAUACUGAAUGUUUUCCUUGUGUGUGAGCAAUCCUUGCUCUUUCCAGAGGGCACUAUGAGCGUGUUCCACCCCAAAAGCAUGUUUAGCAUCUGACCAUGUAUUUAAGGCUCUUGUCAAGGCAGUUAUUGCAGCCUUCUGAGCCAAGUCCCCACAGGCAAUGGUUGUUCGAUUACCUGGUCAGUAGCAGUUACUGCAUAUCCUGCCUUACGGUUGCCUCGUCUCACAACACUGCUUCUGUCGGAUGAACCCAGGAAUCCUCAGCACUGUCCAAUGGUUCCUCCUGUAGGUCUGGCCGACUGGCACAGUCAGUCUCCAAGCAGUCGCACGCUGCCGGUUUGGAGGUAGUUCUGUGUUGGUGUUAGAAUCAUGGAAUGGCCUGGGUUGAGAAGGACCUCAAAGAUCGUCCAGUUCCAACCCCCUGCUAUGUGCAGGGUCACCAACUGACGGACCAGGCUGCCCAGAGCCUUGUCUUGAAUAAGAUUGUUUUUAGGCGAACAAAAACUUUGGAUCACCUUUCAAAUAC